GGAGCAUUCUGGGAAAUGUAGUGAGGAGAAUCGUCACCAUGCAAUCCCAGGGAAGAAAGGACAGGUCAGGAGGGUGUCCUCGGAAAGCAGCUCCCAUUUGAACUUCAGGUUCCAACUGAGCCCUCAGUUGCCGUCUGAUGACCUCUGGACACUUGAACAUUUGUUAGUAUUUUGCUCUGAGCUUCUUGGUGGGUUGCUCUAUAAAAAGCAUCUGCCAUUAUUUCUCUUCUGUGUGGGCUCCCCCUUCAGUUUAUUCCAUUCAUUUUGUUCACAAUCUCUCAACACAAAAAAGCUCAAUGGAGGCCAUGGGCUGACAUCCAGUCCUCUCCAAUCCGACUAAAGGAACACCUACAGAACCGGUCUUACAUCACCGAGGGCUUCUGGGCAUUGAGCGGAAGACAGCCACUGUGACCCAGCGCCUCAGAAAACGACCCCGGUUGCUUUCAUUGUCUCAGCAGAUCCAGGAAGGCAGGUUCAGCUAUGAAAUCCAUUUCAACAGAGCGGAGAAGCCUUGUUAACUUGAACAGCACCUGUGCGCCAGUGUUGUGUCAGCUCCGCUUUUCAGAGAACGUGUAGGUAGGCAAUGACUUCAUUGCAGAUUAACGGCCAGAGAACCGUCCAUUGUGAACAGCUGCCAGGGAAUUCUGGGGGCCUCACCCCUCACACUGGCAUGCGUCCUCCGUCAGCCCAUUUGGCACAGACCACCACCAUGCCCAUUAGAUAGGAGCACUGUUUCCUGGAAGCAAAAGGGCAAAUUCCUUUCAGCAUUCCUUGUGGUUUGAGGAAUGGCUCCUCCAAAGGAAGGAACUGAAGUCACCUGACCAGCUCACUCCACCCAGAGUCCCUGACACUGACAUAUUGUGGGAACAUGUAAACUGAGGAAGCUGGGUGCUGCCUCGAAGCAUGCUGUAAACACCACACUGUGGACUCCUGCCCAAAGAGCUAGUGCCCUGAGUUGCUGAGGCAUGCGUACGCAUGUGUAUUGUUUUAAUUACUGAUCUUUUGAGACAGGGUCUUACUGUGUAACCUAGGCUGGCCUUGAACUCACAACCUUCCUGCUUCAGCCUCCUUAGGCAAGAGAUUUCAGGCCUACAACAUCUGGCCUGGCUUGGGUCCUCUUAGUACAGAGCUUGCUUGACUUGGAACAGCUCAGGUAAUUACACGAUGAAUAUAAACACAAGCCUACCAAGAAAGAAGGAGGAAAGUGAGGAAGAGAGGGAGGGAGGAAGGAAGGGAGGAAGUGGUAUAACGCUAUAGGCGUCCAACAGGUCAAGCCAUCCGGGUAUUUCUAGCCUAACCUGUGAGUCCUGUUUCUUCUCUCUGCAUAAUAGUUUGGAAGGAAGGCUCUGAUUAUCCCUGAACCAGGACCCUGAUUUUCAAAUCCUCUACAACAGUGUCCUACUCUCGCCAAACAAAACACUGUCAGCCUUAAAUGGCUUAGAAUGAAUCCCCCAGCUGCAGCUGUGGCGUUCAGUUGGUGGUGUUCCUUGCUAAGGCUUGGGAAAUUCCAUUCAAAGUCCCCAGAUUCUUUUAGCUUCCCUUGGCAUGCACAGCUUGUAGGAUUUAAUGUAGCCUAAUAGUUUUAUUUUUAAAAAAACUAUUAAAAAACUACAAGAUGUC